rnacentral:misc_RNA from 1 species
GCCAGAAAAAGAUAUACUUAUGUGAAUCUGAAAGCCAAUAAGAUAAAAGGCACAAUUUAAUAUCAAAGCAAUCAAAGAUAAACUUCUCUUUUUCCAGAAUGCUUUCAUGAACGACAGAAAUCCUAGCCAUGCAUAAAGGCAAACACUAUAAAUCAACUCAUAAUUUGAGGAAAUUGCUUAAAAAUGGAAUAAAUGCACAAGCAAAUGUGUGAUAUAAGUUUCCACAACCCCUUUUUAGUCUGAUUUUAUAUUUCUCAAUUAGGUUACCGAAUGCAAAAGAAUCUGUAUUUCAGUGGGACCAACAUAAAGAGAAAAGAUGUGCUUGAAAU